CCUACGGGAGGCUGCAGUCGAGAAUCAUUCACAAUGGGGGAAACCCUGAUGGUGCGACGCCGCGUGGGGGAAUGAAGGUCUUCGGAUUGUAAACCCCUGUCAUGUGGGAGCAAAUUAAAAAGAUAGUACCACAAGAGGAAGAGACGGCUAACUCUGUGCCAGCAGCCGCGGUAAUACAGAGGUCUCAAGCGUUGUUCGGAAUCACUGGGCGUAAAGCGUGCGUAGGCUGUUUCGUAAGUCGUGUGUGAAAGGCGCGGGCUCAACCCGCGGACGGCACAUGAUACUGGGAGACUAGAGUAAGGGAGGGGGAACCGGAAUUCUCGGUGUAGCAGUGAAAUGCGUAGAUAUCGAGAGGAACCCUCGUGGCGAAGGCGGGUUCCUGGACAUUAACUGACGCUGAGGCACGAAGGCCAGGGGAGCGAAAGGGAUUAGAUACCCGGGUAGUC
rnacentral:rRNA from 1 species